rfam:Gossypium raimondii Chr01_contig_26, whole genome shotgun sequence.
UAUUAAAAAUUUCAUUCAUUUCUACAGUUAAAAACUAGCAUGGCUUACAGACUAAAUACUGACAUGUGAUGUGCCACAUGUACUUUAUGCUGAAAUGCAGGGACCAAUUUUUAACAAUAAAAAUAGAUUAAUUUUUUAACA